ACGAGUGGCGAACGGGUGAGUAAAGUAUCGGAACGUACCUUUCAGUGGGGGAUAACGUAGCGAAAGUUACGCUAAUACCGCAUAUUCUGUGAGCAGGAAAGCAGGGGAUCGCAAGACCUUGCGCUGAUUGAGCGGCCGAUAUCAGAUUAGCUAGUUGGUGAGGUAAAGGCUCACCAAGGCGACGAUCUGUAGCGGGUCUGAGAGGAUGAUCCGCCACACUGGAACUGAGACACGGUCCAGACUCCUACGGGAGGCAGCAGUGGGGAAUUUUCGACAAUGGGGGCAACCCUGAUCCAGCCAUGCCGCGUGAGUGAAGAAGGCCUUCGGGUUGUAAAGCUCUUUCGGCCGGGAAGAAAUCGUAUGGGUUAAUACCCUGUGCGGAUGACGGUACCGGCAUAAGAAGCACCGGCUAACUACGUGCCAGCAGCCGCGGUAAUACGUAGGGUGCGAGCGUUAAUCGGAAUUACUGGGCGUAAAGCGUGCGCAGGCGGUUUUGUAAGACAGGCGUGAAAUCCCCGGGCUCAACCUGGGAACUGCGCUUGUGACUGCAAGGCUAGAGUAUGGCAGAGGGGGGUGGAAUUCCACGUGUAGCAGUGAAAUGCGUAGAGAUGUGGAGGAACACCAAUGGCGAAGGCAGCCCCCUGGGCCAAUACUGACGCUCAUGCACGAAAGCGUGGGUAGCAAACAGGAUUAGAUACCCUGGUAGUCCACGCCCUAAACGAUGUCAACUAGGUGUUGGGUGGGUAAAACCAUUUAGUACCGGAGCUAACGCGUGAAGUUGACCGCCUGGGGAGUACGGCCGCAAGGUUAAAACUCAAAGGAAUUGACGGGGACCCGCACAAGCGGUGGAUGAUGUGGAUUAAUUCGAUGCAACGCGAAAAACCUUACCUACCCUUGACAUGUCCAGGAGCCUGAAGAGAUUUGGGUGUGCCCGAAAGGGAACUGGAACACAGGUGCUGCAUGGCUGUCGUCAGCUCGUGUCGUGAGAUGUUGGGUUAAGUCCCGCAACGAGCGCAACCCUUGUCGUUAAUUGCCAUCAUUUAGUUGGGCACUUUAACGAGACUGCCGGUGACAAACCGGAGGAAGGUGGGGAUGACGUCAAGUCCUCAUGGCCCUUAUGGGUAGGGCUUCACACGUCAUACAAUGGUCGGUACAAAGGGUUGCCAACCCGCGAGGGGGAGCCAAUCCCAGAAAGCCGAUCGUAGUCCGGAUCGCAGGCUGCAACUCGCCUGCGUGAAGUCGGAAUCGCUAGUAAUCGUGGAUCAGCAUGUCACGGUGAAUACGUUCCCGGGUCUUGUACACACCGCCCGUCACACCAUGGGAGCGGGUUCCGCCAGAAGUAGGUAGCCUAACCGCAAGGGGGGCGCUUACCACGGCGGGGUUCGUGACUGGGGUGAAGUCGUAACAAGGUA
rnacentral:rRNA from 1 species